rnacentral:misc_RNA from 1 species
UGAGACGUGGGCACUGAGCAG